rnacentral:tRNA from 1 species
UCCUUGGUGGCUCAGAUGGUAAAGCGUCUGCCUGCAGUGCAGGAGACCCGGGUUUGAUCCCUGGGUUGGGAA